GACGAACGCUGGCGGCGUGCUUAACACAUGCAAGUCGAACGGAAAGGCCCUGCUUUUGUUGGGUGCUCGAGUGGCGAAAGGGUGAGUAACACGUGAGUAACCUGCCCUUGACUUUGGGAUAACUUCAGGAAACUGGGGCUAAUACCGGAUAGGAGCUCCUGCUGCAUGGUGGGGGUUGGAAAGUUUCGGCGGUUGGGGAUGGACUCGCGGCUUAUCAGCUUGUUGGUGGGGUAGUGGCUUACCAAGGCUUUGACGGGUAGCCGGCCUGAGAGGGUGACCGGCCACAUUGGGACUGAGAUACGGCCCAGACUCCUACGGGAGGCAGCAGUGGGGAAUAUUGCACAAUGGGCGGAAGCCUGAUGCAGCAACGCCGCGUGCGGGAUGACGGCCUUCGGGUUGUAAACCGCUUUCGCCUGUGACGAAGCGUGAGUGACGGUAAUGGGUAAAGAAGCACCGGCUAACUACGUG
rnacentral:rRNA from 1 species